rnacentral:rRNA from 1 species
GACGAACGCUGGCGGCGUGCUUAACACAUGCAAGUCGAACGGUGAACGAGGGAGCUUGCUCCCUCCGGAUCAGUGGCGAACGGGUGAGUAACACGUGAGCACUCUGCCCCGCACUCUGGGAUAAGCGUUGGAAACGACGUCUAAUACCGGAUACGACGCGGGAGGGCAUCCUCUCCGCGUGGAAAGAACUUCGGUUCGGGAUGAGCCCGCGGCUUAUCAGUUUGUUGGUGAGGUAACGGCUCACCAAGGCGAAGACGGGGAGCCGGCCGGAGGGGGUGACCGGCCACUCUGGGCCGGGGACACGGCCCGGACGCCUCCGGGAGGCAGCAGGGGGGAUUAUUCCACAAGGGGCGCAAGCCGGAUGCAGCAACGCCGCGGGGGGGACGACGGCCUUCGGGUGGUAAACCUCUUUUAGCAGGGAAGAAGCGAAAGUAACGUUACCGGCAGAAAAGGCACCGGCUAACUACGU